CUAAACCCUCACCAGAGUAGCAAUUGGAGGGCAAGUCUGGUGCCAGCAGCCGCGGUAAUUCCAGCUCCAAUAGCGUAUAUUAAACUUGUUGCAGUUAAAAAGCUCGUAGUUGAAUUUCUGCGUUUCCGUCUUGGACAUUUUUGUCUUUUUCGGUUUCGCUUUUGGGUUUUUCACCCUUUUUACUUUGAGAAAAUUAGAGUGUUUCAAGCAGACUUUUGUCUUGAAUACUUCAGCAUGGAAUAAUAGAGUAGGACUUUGGUUCUAUUUUGUUGGUUUUGGAACCUUAGUAAUGGU
rnacentral:rRNA from 1 species